rnacentral:rRNA from 1 species
AAUUGGAGGGCAAGUCUGGUGCCAGCAGCCGCGGUAAUUCCAGCUCCAAUAGCGUAUAUUAAAGUUGUUGCAGUUAAAAAGCUCGUAGUUGAACUUCGGGAUCAAUGGAUUGGUCAUGCCGUUGGUAUGUACUGGUCAUAUUGGUUCUCACCUUCUAAGGAACCAUAAUGUCAUUCAUUUGAUGUUUUGGGGAAUUAGGACUGUUACCUUGAAAAAAUUAGAGUGUUUAAAGCAGGCUAACGCUUGAAUACAUUAGCAUGGAAUAAUGAAAUAGGACAUCGCAUUCUAUUUUGUUGGUUUCUAGGAUCGAUGUAAUGAUUAAUAGGGAUAGUUGGGGGCAUUAGUAUUCAAUUGUCAGAGGUGAAAUUCUUGGAUUUAUUGAAGACUAACUACUGCGAAAGCAUUUGCCAAGGAUGCUUUCAUUAAUCAAGAACGAAAGUUAGGGGAUCGAAGACGAUCAGAUACCGUCGUAGUCUUAACCAUAAACUAUGCCGACUAGGGAUCGGAUGAUGUUGAUUUUUUAAUGACUCAUUCGGCACCUUACGGGAAACCAAAGUGU